rnacentral:tRNA from 1 species
UCCCAUAUGGUCUAGUGGUUAGGAUUUGGCGCUUUCACCGCCAAGGCCUCGGUUCAAUUCCCGGAUUGGGAA